rnacentral:rRNA from 1 species
GAUGAACGCUGGCGGCGUGCCUAAUACAUGCAAGUCGAGCGAACAGACGAUAGUGCUUGCACUCUCUGACGUUAGCGGCGGACGGGUGAGUAACACGUGGGUAACCUACCUAUAAGGCUGGGAUAACUUCGGGAAACCGGAGCUAAUACCGGAUAAUAUUUAUCUUCGCAUGGAGCAAUAGUGAAAGACGGUUCUGCUGUCACUUAUAGGUGGACCCGCGUUGUAUUAGCUUGUUGGUGAGGUAACGGCUCACCAAGGCAACGAUACAUAGCCGACCUGAGAGGGUGAUCGGCCACACUGGGACUGAGACACGGCCCAGACUCCUACGGGAGGCAGCAGUAGGGAAUCUUCCGCAAUGGACGAAAGUCUGACGGAGCAAUGCCGCGUGAGUGAAGAAGGUUUUCGGAUCGUAAAACUCUGUUGUAAGGGAAGAACAAGUACGUUAGUAACUGAACGUACCUUGACGGUACCUGACCAGAAAGCCACGGCUAACUACGUG